rnacentral:rRNA from 1 species
AACGAACGCUGGCGGCAGGCCUAACACAUGCAAGUCGAACGGGUGUAGCAAUACAUCAGUGGCGCACGGGUGAGUAACACGUGGGAACGUGCCCUUCACUACGGGACAACGUCGGGAAACUGACGCUAAUACCGUAUAAUGUCUCCGGACCAAAGAUUUAUCGGUGAAGGAUCGGCCCGCGUCUGAUUAGCUAGUUGGUGAAGUAAUGGCUCACCAAGGCGACGAUCAGUAGCUGGUUUGAGAGAAUGAUCAGCCACACUGGGACUGAGACACGGCCCAGACUCCUACGGGAGGCAGCAGUGAGGAAUCUUGGACAAUGGGCGCAAGCCUGAUCCAGCCAUGCCGCGUGAGUGAUGAAGGCCUUAGGGUUGUAAAGCUCUUUUGCCGGGGAUGAUAAUGACCGUACCCGGAGAAUAAGCCACGGCUAAAUUCGUGCCAGCAGCCGCCGUAACAC